CUUGAGCGCGGUCCCUGCGGGAUCAGCCCAGCUGGAGCCCGCGUUGUGUUGCCUGCGAUCCUCUUACUUCAGCCCAGCGUUCUGGGACAACAGGAAGUCACCUCACCACAUGGCCAGGCCAGCACAGGUGCUUUAGAGGCAGUCAAGCGCAGAUUCUGGAAGACCCUGAAAGCCUCCAGAGCACACGCUGUGCGAGGACCAGGGAGACGGAAACACACCUGGCCAGCAAGGGAAAAGCAAACAGAGCAACUACCCGGGAGCCCUGGAAGUGCUUCCUGCUGCAGUCUGGGCCCCGCUGUCCAGCGCUGGGCAAUCCUGACGCGAAGUGGGAGGUCACUCCCCACCACGUGAGCUGCACCUGCUACCUCCUCAUGGCUUUGUUUUUUUGGUACGGGAGAUAGAACUCACCAUGCUUACCAGGCAGGCACUUAAGCUGCUGAGCUAAAUCCCCAGCCCCUCCUGGCUUUUAUUUUAUGCAAAAACAUUAAAAAUACAUGACAUCCAA